rnacentral:rRNA from 1 species
CCUACGGGAGGCAGCAGUAGGGAAUAUUGCUCAAUGGGGGAAACCCUGAAGCAGCAACGCCGCGUGGAGGAUGAAGGUUUUCGGAUUGUAAACUCCUUUUGUUAGAGAAGAUAAUGACGGUAUCUAACGAAUAAGCACCGGCUAACUCCGUGCCAGCAGCCGCGGUAAUACGGAGGGUGCAAGCGUUACUCGGAAUCACUGGGCGUAAAGAGGGAGUAGGCGGGAUAGCAAGUCAGAUGUGAAAUCCUAUGGCUAAACCAUAGAACUGCAUUUGAAACUGUUAGUCUAGAGUAUGGGAGAGGUAGGUGGAAUUCUUGGUGUAGGGGUAAAAUCCGUAGAGAUCAAGAGGAAUACUCAUUGCGAAGGCGACCUGCUAGAACAUAACUGACGCUGAUGCGCGAAAGCGUGGGGAGCAAACAGGAUUAGAUACCCCAGUAGUC